AGGGAGGCCCCCAUCACCCCCGACCGUUCCCCAGGGAUGACCACGUGCAGUGGGGCGAGGUCUCAUUUGCUGGACUUUCCCUGACCAGCUGAACCAUUAAACUAGGACACCGAGAUGCCUGCCACCAUACCCUGGACAUUUCCUAAUCAGGAGGGUAUUCGUGGCAGCCCCGCCCUGUGCAGAAGGUUUCACGUGCAUUAUUCCAAUGAAGCCUCCCAGCCACCCAUGAGGUCAGUUCUAUUAUUACCUUCAUCCUCCCUCCCGAAGGGGACACAGGUGAGGUGACUGCCAAGCCACAAGCUCCAAAGAACGUCUGUUUGGAUCAUCAGAGCCACAAAUCACAAGCAGGACAUUUGAAGGGAGUGGGUAAUGAGGCUAAAAAUAUUUAUUUGGAACAGAUUCUAAGGGCAGGCCAAAUUCCUGUUCAAACCCCACCUCCUGUUACAAUAGCUUUGGGUUCAGGGAAGGACUGAGUGAAAACUCCUGUGAAACAAGCAUCCACAUCAAGAAACAGAACGUGAGUGACCACGUGUGUGUUUUCGAAACAAAAUCAGGAUCCUCUGACGUUGUGGGAUGAUUGUGUCCUCCCAAAAAGCUCCUGGACGGAUCUAAGAAUGUCACCUCUUGCAGCCUGGUGACCAUGGCAGACACAUCAGAUGACGUCACCACCUAAAGCACUUCAGUGGCUCCCUCAUGUCCCUGUGAUCUGGCUCCUGUACCCUCCCCACCUCAUCUCAUACCUCGCUCCCUGUUCGGCCACUCAGGCCACGUUUUGGCCCUUCUCCUCUCUGUCUCUGUGGCCACAGGGCCUUAGUACAUGCUGUGCCAUCUGCCAAAGAUGCCUCUACUCUCCCCUCGACAUGCGCUCGUCAUCAUCCUUCAGAUCUAAACUGUUCCCUGCCUCCCUACAUCAUGUACCUUGUAACACCAGAGAUCUAGGGACCUCUUCGUAGGGUGUUUGGGGGAGAGGCUUCCAGGGAACUGCCCCCAAGUCUGUCACUCUCAAGGUCUUGGCUCUGUGUCCCCACCUCCCAGAGAGGAGACCUCCUACAUCCCCACCGGCCAGUGGUCCCCAGGGCUCCUUCUAAAGCACUUCCGCAUCUCUCCUCUCCUCACCACCCAUGGCCACCUCUUGGCAUUGCAAUGGUGCUCCCCACCCUCUACUCACCAUACCCAGCUGAGGGCUCUAAAAAAUGCACCCAACUCCCUUCCUGAAAACCCUUUCAUUGCUCCCCACUGGCAUCAGGGUAAAUUUCUAGCUCCUACUUCGUGAGCCUCUUGACAAGGCCAUUUUGAUCCAGGCUCCAGUGAGCACUUACUGCACCAGCCUCAGCCCCUGGCGCCAAUUCACCUCAGUCCUCCUCUCCCCAACAGGCUAGGAGCCAUCAUGCCUCAGUGCCUUCUCCCUUUGUCCCUUCUGUUCCCUUUGCCUGGGCCCCUUCUCCUUUGGGCUUCACCUGGCUAAAUGCUCACUGCAUCCUUCUCAACUCCCACCAAGGUAUCACCUCCUCCAGGAAGCCUUCCCUAUGCCCCUGACUGUGUUUU